CAUGAUUCGGACUUGGUUUUGUGUACCUGGGAAUAAUGCCGCACGGAGGAGGAAACGGGAUUCAAGAACCAGGAAUCAGUAAGAUGCGAUAAAUUUCGUUUUCUCUGUUGAGAAAACGCGCAUUCCCAUAAAGAGUAAUAGGGAGAGAUGGAGAGAAUAAAGACAACGAAAAGAGCAAAAAAAGCCUCAAAAAACAAUAUCACACCGACCUUACAUCUAUGAAUAAGAAGGAAAGAGGAGAGAGAGAGAGCAUCGCAUCCUGCGCAUCCUCUCUAAUCCAAUUCAGCACGAUGCGUGAAUUCAUGAAUAUAUAAAUAAAUAGGAACCCGAAGUAUCCGUAAGUUAUCACAUGUGUAAGUACAAUAUUGGAGAGAGAGAGAGAGAGAUGGUCCAUGUUGGCCAUGUUCGAACGAUGACGUCACCAUUGAAGAAAACUUGUACCCUAUAAUGCCGAUGCCUACAUAUACACACGCACACGGAGCAGGCUGAGAGCUAUUACAGAAUUCUUCGAGGAGGUAAGCCCUAUACUUAAAGUAUAUAGAGCCCGCGCCCAUUGCUGAGAAACCAAAAAGCCAUCAUCAUAUUUCUCUCGUUACUUUGGGGAGGAGUUCUGUUCACUUUUUUGUUUUAUAAUCUAUUCUUGUACAUAUUAUUCGUCGCGAAUUUUUAUCUUCCAGAUAUUGUAGGUAAUAAUAUAGUUAUUGGUUGAUUUUAGAGUUUUCGUAACAAGGAAGAAAAACCAAAAAAAAAAAGGCAAAACAAUUUUUUUUUUUUAAACUAAAGGACUAGGCUUAUACUGCGAGUCAUUUUGUAUUCUCUGUAUAAUUUUUCACCUCUCUAUCUGGUGCAUUUUUCGUGUGCGAUGGAAAUUUUUGACACCAGGAUCAAGUGUAGAAAACGAAAAAGAGGAUAAGAAAUUAUUAAACUUUCUACGUUUAUUACGCUAGUGCAAAAAAAAAAAACAAAAAACUGCAAAAUUAUUGUGCUGAUAUAAGUAUGUUGACAUACGCGGUCAUUCAUGAAAAUGGGGAUUUCCGACGAAGAAAAGGAAGCAGAAGAAGAAGGAGAAGAAAAAGAAGAAGAAUAAGAUGAAGGAGGAACGCUCAAUGAGUAAUCAGGAAGCUUGCGAAACGAGUUCGGGAUUGUAAAAUUCAGAAACGUGCUUCACUGCUGUAGGAGAAGAACUGCAACAAGAGAAAAGAGAAAAGAAAAAAGCGAACCCGAUGACGCCAAUCGAGAUUAAUGAUCGGAUAAGAUCCGGCGCAAUAUGGAAUAAUGGAAGUGCGGAUGAUCGUGCAGCUCGAAGGUGAUAGAAAUAAUAGAUUGUCAACAAACGGCGCAACGAAAGGGAAAAAAUGAAAUAAAGAAACGAGCAAACUGAAAAUGAAGAGAGAAAACAAGGCGAAGAAAAUAAGUAGAACAACAUCCGGGGCAAAUAUCCCGAACCGCGACGACAACGAUUUAAAGAAGACGAAGAAGCGGCGCCACGAUCAGGAGUUUAGGCUACCGAGUAGCGUACUUGAAUCGAGGCAAAGAGGAAAUCGAGAGAAGAAACGAGGAACGCGUGACUAGCUGCAUAUCACGUGGUGAAAGAUUAGAUCAGGAUUUCAGGUUCGUCGUUAUUUGCUCGUUUCGUAAUUUGCAGCGGUUUAUAUUCACAAAAUAGAAAAAGAAUAAAUUUCGGCUUCUUCAAGCUAGCUAUUUCUUUUUUUUCUCUUUUCUUACUCCUAUAUUAUACGACACGAUGAGAUGUAAAAAUAACGUAUGUAAAAUUUUCGGGCGAAUUUUAUUUUCUAGGCCUAUAAAAUUUACGCCUGAUUUUUAUUUGUAAUAGACGUUUUUGUUCUUUCAUUCGAUUGAUGCUAAUCGCAUUGCUAUAGUUAAGUUACAGCGGUGAUUGUUAGGUUGUCAAGUUUCAGGCGUGUAUCGUAUACACUUAUACUUGUAACGAUAAAUUGAUAGAAUUUCUCCUUACAUGUGGAUCGUACAGAAACCAUAUGUACAUAUGUAAUAAUUCCUAAUCGAUUUCUCCGAAUAAUUAAUCAAAUUCUAAUCUCUGCUUCCCGUCUCCUGGUAUUAUAUAACUUUUUAUUUAUAUUAUAUAAAUACUAAAAAACGAAGCUCGAGCCUCUCAUACAAUAUAUACAUCAAGCAUUGAAAGACGGAAGCUACUGGACACGAGUGCGUUUAAUAAUUUCUGUAACACAGGAUCAGAAUCGGGACGAGAAAGGAGCGCGAGGGACUCGAAUAAGAAGAAGAAGCUGUAGAAGGAGGAUAAAUAUCCGAAACUAGUUUCGUCGGUAAUUUAUACAAUAGAAGAUUAACGAUGGUAUACCUAUGUAUAUGUGUACAUAUUACGUAUAGUAAUAUAAGGCAGGCGAUGGCCGUCUUAGAAGAUUACACCUUACGGUCAAGAAGACGAGGAGACGAGGAGAAGAGAGGAGAGGAAAACUGGACCGCGCCGAAGGCAAGGAGGAGCUGAUCCUUGACUCGCCGGGGAUCUUAUUUACUGCCUGGGCAAUAACCGUGUUUCUCGUGUCGGCACAACGGCUCUGCUUCUGCUUCUGAGCUGCUGCAGGGUGGAUGCGGAACGACUACCGGGCUACGCGAGCUGCGGUACAGCCGCGGACAAAAAUCAUAUUCGGGGGAAGAAGACGCACGUAAGCUUCGUACGAUAUACGUAUACCUAGGCUAAAAAAUGAGAUUGAAGUUGGUCACGAUAACGUGACACAAUGUAUUUUCAGGAAAAAUAGUUGUUGUAAUAAACCGUAAUUAAACAAAAGAAAUCUCGGAAUCUAUAAACUUAACAUCUUAAAAGCCAUUGUCAAAUUUCUAAUUAAUGAUUUUUUUGCAAUAUUUCGUUACUUUAACGUUAUUUAACUUCAAUCCCGUAGUAAAAGCGGAGAAUCGAAACUGCGCGAAAGUCGAGGUGCUAUUUGCACUUACAGAUUUAGUGACUCGCGAAUACAAAAGAUUUUUAUGAUUUCACGCAAUUUUAGGAAACAAUUUCAAUACUCC
rnacentral:lncRNA from 1 species